GUCAGCACUGACGUCAGUUACUGACUCAAUAUAAAUCAGCCAUUAGGGGUGGCAAAAAUUGGAUGGCCUACUAGCGGCAAAUUUGUAAAUCCACCACUGUCUACAGUGUUACUAGAUAUGUUUAGUCUUGUAUAAGAAACUGUCUAGGACCUAGACUCUAGUGUUCUAAAAAAUAACGAUCUUGUAUCGCCAUUUCGCAAAACCGGAAAAAUAUUUAUGAACAGCCUUUGUUCACAAAUGCCUAUUACAUAAAAGCCUAUUACUUAAAUAAAACGAAAUUCUUAUUCAUAUAUUAUAUUUUAUUGGAAUUAAAGAUCAACUUAGUAAUAUAGGUAAACAAGUAACAGGAACUAGCACCUGAAAUGAUAAACUAAAUAACAAACAAUGGUUACGUUUAAACAACAAACGAGUAGUACUAAGGUAACAAAAAGCAUAAAUGCAAUUAUUAGAGGCAGAGAGCACGCGAAGCUGGAAAUCAAAUAUUACAUAAAUAAAAUAGUUACUGAUAAGAACUAAGAGCAAAUAAGAAUUGAUAAGAGACAGUCACAGGGCGAUAGCGAGCGCGGACAGUCGCCGCUGCAGACAAGUUACACAAAUAGUUACAUCAUUAAUUUCACCAUUAUAAUCAACAAGUCUAAUGCAAUAAGUGCACUACUUCACAUAACAGAUUUUCGUCGAGCAUAGCGGGCGAGGCGCGAUGUCAGACGAAGGUUUCGCCGUCCACGCAGUCCGGGCGCCGCGCCGGGCUCCGCGCCGGGCCCCGCGUCGAGCCCCGCGCCGGGCCGCACCAUUGCACGUCUGUGGGACGCAUACGUGCCGCACAAACAACCACUUGUGUAAAAAUUGCGAAUCAAACCCCCGCACUCAGUGUCUCUGAGUGUGUCCAAAAAGCAGCAAUAGUCCCCUAACUUACUAUUUAUAGUAUAUUUGCGUUAGUAAUAAAUUUCCUUAAUUCCAAACUGCGAAACAUGAACCACGAAGAGGGAAGGAGGAACGCGCUGGGCUUACUCCCUCACGCUGUGAGUGCACAUAUCAAUAGUGAUACUUCAUCUGUGUGGCUCGACUGUACCGUGAACAUGUCACUUCACUUAUUUAUUAUUUUUACAGAAUUGUUUUGUUUCAGUGUCUUCAUACUUAUGUAUGGUGUACAUAUAUAUAUUAUACCUACGUGACUGUUACUGAGUAUCUGUGAGUAGGCACAUUACAUUUAGUUGAAUCAUCAACAGAUUUUAGUUUCAUGUUUUUACAGUAUUCACAGAAACGAACUUCACGUACCCUUUUCUAAAGAAACAUUAUUAACUCCAGUCAGUAAAAUGAAAUUUCUAGUGUUGCAGGUUUUUAGUUCGUAAUAAAUAGUGAUGUGGCUGAAUCUAGUUUUACCAAUUUAAGUUAGUAAACAUUUUUCUUUAUUUAAUAUUAAAUUGCCUUUUCAAAAUACUCUAACACCCCAUUCUGCAUUCACGGAGAAAAAUACUGAUAAAAGAUAUCCCACUACGUGCGUUUGAAGCAGAAGCAGAGGCAGGGGCAACAAUCAGGGUCACGGGUUAAAAUGGUAGCUGCACCUCUGGGUAACAUAACAUUUUGUCAAGUGGUUCAUUUGCCGUACUACGUUACUUAUGCCUGGCGCACAUGUUUACAAGCUUUUGUAGGUAGAGUAUCAAUGCGAAAGCUGUGCCAUUCUGAUAAAUUUAGGGGAUGUAUCCACAUUUUAGAUAUCCUCUUCUUUGGAAGUGACAUCGUCCAUACACUAUGGAAUUAAGGCACUAAACUUGUAAACAUGGCAUUGGUUUGGCUCAAAAAUAAAGUCGGUUAAGUAAGGUGGGGCGCAGCCGCGCGGCUCGCGGCCGACGCGAAGCUGUUCAAGUGCAGAGUACACGUGCGCCACUUGCCUUAUCUCAAUAAUCGCGCUUGUCGCUGCCCCGCCAAGGCAACCACUUCGCACAUGUUUCUAAACAUCGCGCUCUUCAUUUCAUAUUGCUCAAUAUAAGAAUUAUCCUCUUACAAUAGAUGUUUUUGAUAGUAUCUACUUAUAUACUUUCUCACAAUUAAACGAGGUGGCAAAGAAACGAGACAGAGCAGGCUUGCUGCUAGUUGCAAUCAUGACAAAAGAUAGUUGUGUGGUAAAGGCGGCAGAACGCGAGGGGAUCGGGCGGCAGACGCGCGCAGGUACUUACAGAUGUGCGUGUUGGCGGCGAGCGGCGCGUGCAGCGGCGACUCGGCCAGCUGCGGCGCCGCGGCCGGCUGCGGCGCGUCGCCCGGCGCCGCCUCGCACAGCGAAGUCUCCGACGGGUACUCGAACGUGCGCGUCAGCGAGUCGUCGAACUGCAGCUUCAGCUGGAACACCAACACAUCACUCCUCACUACCGGGACACUCGCGAGGAUGCACCUUACCAACCAUACUCAUACUAUUCAAUAUUAAUUAUAAUCAUUGACUGUCA